UACGAAGGGGGCUAGCGUUGCUCGGAAUCACUGGGCGUAAAGCGCACGUAGGCGGCUCGUUAAGUCGGGGGUGAAAUCCUGGAGCUCAACUCCAGAACUGCCCUCGAUACUGACGAGCUCGAGUCCGGGAGAGGUGAGUGGAACUGCGAGUGUAGAGGUGAAAUUCGUAGAUAUUCGCAAGAACACCAGUGGCGAAGGCGGCUCACUGGCCUGGUACUGACGCUGAGGUGCGAAAGCGUGGGGAGCAAACAGG
rnacentral:rRNA from 1 species